rnacentral:rRNA from 1 species
GACAGAGGAUGCAAGCGUUAUCCGGAAUGAUUGGGCGUAAAGCGUCUGUAGGUGGCUUUUUAAGUCUGCCGUCAAAUCCCAGGGCUUAACCCUGGACAGGCGGUGGAAACUACCAAGCUGGAGUACGGUAGGGGCAGGGGGAAUUUCCGGUGGAGCGGUGAAAUGCGUAGAGAUCGGAAAGAACACCAACGGCGAAAGCACUCUGCUGGGCCGACACUGACACUGGGAGACGAAAGCUAGGGGAGCGAAUGGG